rnacentral:rRNA from 1 species
UACGUAGGGUGCAAGCGUUGUCCGGAAUUAUUGGGCGUAAAGAGCUCGUAGGCGGUUUGUCGCGUCUGCUGUGAAAACUCGGGGCUUAACCCCGGGCCUGCAGUGGGUACGGGCAGACUAGAGUGCGGUAGGGGAGACUGGAAUUCCUGGUGUAGCGGUGGAAUGCGCAGAUAUCAGGAGGAACACCGGUGGCGAAGGCGGGUCUCUGGGCCGUAACUGACGCUGAGGAGCGAAGGCGUGGGGAGCGAACAGG